AUCAGUAUUCAUAAAGCACGACGACGAGAAGCGAUUGAAUAGACUAUCUAUUGGAUGAACAAAUCGAACGGAGGAUGCUUUAUAUAGGAAUGGAGAGAACGCGUAUAUCACGAAUUGCGUCUUCGAAUGGACAGUCCUCGGACGGAAACCGCGUCGCGUUGGUUUAUAAUGCGAUACCUAUUGACGACCGUCGAUGGAAAACAACCUUCAUAUGUAAGGUUUCACGCAUACAUACGUUUAUAUGUAUAUGUAUACUCUAUAUUCUUUUAUGUGCAGAGAGUACAGAUCUUUUGCGUUCGCUGAAUGGUGGAUUAAAAUUGAUUUCUUUCUAUAUUUUAUGAAUGUGUACAUGUUUAUAUUUAUAAACGAGAUUGAAAAUCGAGACUUGUAUUAUACUGUUCAUUAAAAAAACAUUAUUUAUUUGGUUUGAUUUUAGAAAAUAGGUUAUCGUUGCAAUAUGAAUAAUUCACGGAAUCCAGAGCAAAGAUGAAAAAAUGUAAGAUAUGCAAAAAGACAAAAAGGAAAUCAUGACAAAUGGAAGAAAAGUCUGUACAAUGAUCAUGUUACUACGUCGGAAAUUCUGUCUUUAAUUGAAGAUAACAUCUACUCCUGCCUACUCGCUUGGUUGCUUAAGUUGCAAAGCAAGAAACUGCACAAAAGAGUCACGUGCAAUAUGAUUAGGAAAUUUUUCUCAGAAGAUAAAUUGGAAAGAAAUGAUAUUUGACGCGUUAAAUUAAUGAAAUUAACAAUAUGUUUGACGGAUAUCUCUAUCCAAAAAAAAAUGUAUAGAAAAAAAAAUUUAUUCUGUUGAUAAAACAUGUAAAAAAAAAAACAGAUAAAGAAAGAAAAAAAUUUUGUUUUGACAGGUUUUAGUCCAUUAUUAAAACAAGACAUGUUCCUAUAAAGAACAAAGAAGACCAAUAUAAGAUAUAAAAUAACAAGAUAUAUCGCAGUUUGUGCAAAAUAAUCACUAUGCACGCAUAGGCAUGAGAAAAAUGCAUUCUUUAUAUAUGUAAAUUCUUUAAUUCAAGGAUAUUCAAGAAUAUCGCUGAAAAUUUUUUUUCAUUUUUAAAGUCGAAUUUUUUUUUUAAUUCUUUUUUUAAUUUGACAGAUAUUACAAAAUAAAAACAAAAAACAAAAAUAAUAUAGAAUGAAUUUGUUUCUGAAACAUUUUAUCACGAACUUAAUUUCAAGUAAUUUCAUCACGUAUGCAAAUUAAAUUUUUCUUUCAGCUGAAACGAUGUUCGAAUGAAAAUAUAAUUGAUAUUUCUGACAUUGAAUAAAAUGUAAUAAAAAUAUUUGUAGAAAAUUUUGAAAAUAUUGUUUAAAAUUAUUUGAUAAAACUUACUAAUUUUUAAUAUGAGAAAAAAUCUAUUUUUUUAUUGUAAAGCAAAUUUCAAAAAACAGAUUUGUAAAUAUAUUGAAAUAAAUGUAAAAAAAAAUAAAAA